rnacentral:tmRNA from 1 species
GGGGGCGUACUGGUUUCGACGGGGAUAAUAGAGAUGCGAGAAGCGAGUCGCGGGCUCCGGGGCCGCGUCAAAAACCUGGAAUUAAAAAUAAACGCUAACGAUAACUUAGCACUCGCUGCUUAAUUAAGCAGUGACGUCCAUCCUAUAGUUCCCGCACUAUAGGAAUUGGGCGCCGAUUUCGCGGAGAACGAACCUAACAAAGCUUUGAGUUAGGCCGGAAUCAAUGAAGCUACUGAAGCCGGAAUCCAGUCAGUGGGAGUCCGGUUGAGGGAAUGCAAAACACUGACUGCACUCGGAGAUGCUCUCAUCGAUAUAUCUUCGGACAGGGGUUCGACUCCCCUCGCCUCCACCA